rnacentral:rRNA from 1 species
GCAGCAGCCGCGGGAAUACAGAGGGUGCGAGCGUUAAUCGGAUUUACUGGGCGUAAAGCGUGCGUAGGCGGCUUCUUAAGUCGGAUGUGAAAUCCCUGAGCUUAACUUAGGAAUUGCAUUCGAUACUGGGAAGCUAGAGUAUGGGAGAGGAUGGUAGAAUUCCAGGUGUAGCGGUGAAAUGCGUAGAGAUCUGGAGGAAUACCGAUGGCGAAGGCAGCCAUCUGGCCUAAUACUGACGCUGAGGUACGAAAGCAUGGGGAGCAAACAGGAUUAGAUACCCCAGUAGUUUCUGUCUCUUAUAC